UUUCAUCACAUUCCCAAAGAGGGUGGGCCUUUAAGAUUACCAAGGAGCACUAAACUACUGGGUAUUCUGUGUUAUCGGCUAAAACAACUCCAUUAUUUGGUCAAAAACCAAAGCUGAGUUGUCAGCAAAACUCACUGGGGACUGAGAACAGAACAGUAAGGGGGAAUGGGGGUUGUUUGUCACAUGAAGUGCCAUGAAGCAGCUCAACCUCAACAUUUCGGGAAUCUAAAGUGUGAGCCCCUCGACUAGCAACAGAAGCAUGAUCCGAAGGCACAUUCGAAAUCGAGGAUCUCAGGCCCCAACCCGCAUAUCUCAGAUCUGAAUCUGCAUUUUACCAAAAUUCCCCUGUCUUCAUUAGGAGAGGUCUUCUGUUUCACAGCAAAAUGACCAGCAGAUAACAUCACUGCUGCAACACAAAUACCGAGUGUAGUUUUCAGUUAAAAGAUUCUGUGUGUGCACAGAGAAAAAAAAAGAGCUUCUUUUUCUGCUGAAUGGAGAAAAGCAGCAAAUGAUUUGAUGUUCCAUUUUUGCCCAGCUCAUCACGUUCGUCUCCAGAAGAGAAGCUGUAUUUGCCUGAUUGUUAUUAACACACAGGGGCAUUUCUUCAUGGCUGUCCUUAGAGUGCACACUCUCAAGCCGCCUUAGAGGUGAGGUCACCUUUGGAUCUCCACUAGCUCAGUUCCUUUGGAUGGCAUCCAAGACAGAACUGCCUUCUGCCGAAUUUCACUGCUGUGGCCAAUGAAGUAAUAAUGAGACUCUUGUGGCAAUGCCCCUUGGAUUGUAAACAAUCAAAUUCCCAAUAUAAGUACCAGCAUUUACAAUGA